UAUAUAUUUUAGGAGCAUAGCUCUGACUGCUUAAGCAUACCUGUUCAUUUGUAAGGAUUGUUGUUCUCAAUCCUCAUCAAAAGGAAGAGGUUAAAUGUUUGGGAAAAGGUGAACUUACAUUCUUUGGCAGGAUCAAGGACAAUCGCAUCAUUCGUUUAUCACAGAGCACACCACAGACAUAGUUGGUCGUUAGUUGGAGGCGUUGGUCAAUGUAACUGUUGGUCAGAUGAACCUAGCUGUAAAGAAAUAUCUUGGCUGGCUGGUGAUAGCUGGAUGUAAAUUGUUAGGUUUCUAGAAUGGUAAUGCACUAUCUCUCCUAGGGCUGUCUUAAAAAUCUUGCUAGCAAUGGGAACUGCAGGGGGCAGAAAGUGUCCAUUCCUCUUGCUUUACUUACACUGCCUGCUGCAUUAUGCUUUGGAAAACCAUUUUAACACUGCUUGCCGUUUGCAAUUCGUUUUUAAUACGUACCUUUUCUGCAAAUAAGCUUUUAUGAGCAUCAACUCUCGGUUCAGUUUGCUUUACAGCCAGCGUUGUGAGCAGAGUAGCUGUGAAGCACGAUGUUAUCGUUGGAGGGCCGUCUCCUGAACGUGUAUUUGAAUUUUCAGUCAGAAUUACAUAUGUACCUUUGUAGAUACUGGAAUUCUGGGGAAACAUUUAGGAGUAUGUUUGCUUCUGAAACAUUGUCUGCACUGCGAUUUGAGCUGUGGUUGUGUUGCAUCACUGUAUCUACAUGAAGGAGCGAGGCUGUCACUUGCCUCACCUCACUGCAUUUUAGCUAAAGUAGUGAAGCGCAGCAGUUGUAGUACACGCUGUUCUAGGCAAAGGCUAUGCCAUGGUGUGAGUGUUGCUGAGGGAAAGGCUGAAGUGAAGACAAAACCUGUCUGACUCACUAAAGAUUGGAACAGGAAAAAGGGAGAGGAAGAAAUCUGAAGAAUGGUUCUCAGAAUUGUAAUAAUUGCAAUUGAAAGUUGGAACUAGAUUUCAGGGCUUAAGUUGUAUGUAAAGUGGCACAAAAUUAGUGUUGGCUGUCUUGACUUUAGGACUUCGACCCAUGACUCCAGUUUUAAUUUGUGACAGUUAGAAUCUAUUUAAUAAGCUGAUGGCAAAGCUCAUGUUUCUGUAGGUCAUGGACUUUAGCUUGAAUAUUUUGAUAUGGAAAUUACCUCACACCUAGUUAAGUUAUGCCUUAUAAGAAGUCCUUAAAUCCGACACCACUACCCACCCCCCCUCAGGAAUUACGGAACAGCCAGAGGACAUUAGAAGAAUUAUGCCAGCCAUUCGUAUCAGCUUCUUCUAUAUUUUUGUAGGUCUGCAAUUCCAAUGCUUUGUUUGUUCCUUUAGAAUUACAGAUGAGAAAAACCUGUUUUGCAGUGCUGAAUAUAGUUCUUGGUUCCCAUCAGUGAGCAGUUAGACAUGUAGAUGCAUCCUUAUGUCUAGGAAUUGACUGAUGCUUUCAGAUGUGAAGACACAUUUUCUUUUAUAGAUGAUGACCUUGCUUCAGGUAGCCUUCUCCCCAGCAUAUGCACCAAACUUCUGGAUUACAAUCCCAUGGAGAAUUUGAAAGAGGAGUCCAGGAUUCAAGAAGCAUGUCUGUUUUUCAGCUGCAUACUCCACUUUGGCUGCCUCUGAACUGUCCAAUUCACUCAGGAAGGAUAUUCUUUUUUGCCAUGUGUUGCGGGGACUGCUUUCUCCCUGAAAGCCCGUAAGAAGUGUCAACUGCAGGCUUCAUUGUUCAGGAGAUCUCCGGUUUCAUAUCUAAACAGUUUUCCUUAGUUUUUAACCUCUUAAAGAAUAAAGGGUCUUUAGACCUACGGAAGGUAAUGUUUUCUUUCCUCUUGGUGUGAAGAUGUGUUCUUUGGUGUGAUAUAUCCAGAUGUGAGACUUUUAGCUCCAUACAUGACGGAAACUUGUGUAUGUGGGACAAGCCAGAUUGAGAGUGCUCAAUUAAGCUUCUUUGGAGCUGAAGAACAACAUAAUACAAGUCCUUCCUCUUCCUUGUGGUGUUAAUCCCUAUUUUGUAUCCUAUGCCAUGUUUUUUUUUUUAAAUACAUUCUUUUUUUACUGGGCCAAAGGUUAGGGAUUAAUCUUGUGCCAUGAACUCUAC